rnacentral:autocatalytically_spliced_intron from 1 species
AGUAAGUCGUAAACUAGUUGCGACUGUAGAGAGUAAUCUCUAACAACAAACUCGGCUAUUUGCUGGAAAAACUGUGAAUCUUGUACUACUCAUUCGUUCAUAACAUAGAUAUUAUGCGCAUUGUGAGUGAAAAUGUAACAAGUGCAGCCAAUCAGCAGGGAAGUCCGCUGUCCGUUUCAAAUGGAUAUGACCCCUCAGAGACUACACGCCGAGCGCCUAG